rnacentral:rRNA from 1 species
GUGAGGAAUAUUGCGCAAUGGAGGCAACUCUGACGCAGCCAUGCCGCGUGCAGGAAGAAGGCGCUACGCGUUGUAAACUGCUUUUAACCGGGAAGAAACCCCAGGACGUGUCCUGGGUUGACGGUACCGGAGGAAUAAGCACCGGCUAACUUCGUGCCAGCAGCCGCGGUAAUACGAAGGGUGCAAGCGUUAUCCGGAUUCAUUGGGUUUAAAGGGUGCGUAGGCGGAGCGUUAAGUCAGUGGUGAAAUCCUGCAGCUUAACUGUAGACUUGCCAUUGAUACUGGCGCUCUUGAGUGCGCUUGAAGUGGGCGGAAUGUGCCGUGUAGCGGUGAAAUGCUUAGAUAUGGCACAGAACACCAAUUGCGAAGGCAGCUCACUAAGGCGAUACUGACGCUGAGGCACGAAAGCGUGGGGAUCGAACAGGAUUAGAAACCCGGGUAGUCC